rnacentral:rRNA from 1 species
UACGUAGGGGGCAAGCGUUGUCCGGAUUUAUUGGGCGUAAAGAGCGUGUAGGCGGCCAGACAGGUCCGCUGUGAAAACUCGAGGCUCAACCUCGAGACGUCGGUUGAAACCGUCUGGCUAGAGUCCGGAAGAGGAGAGUGGAAUUCCCGGUGUAGCGGUGAAAUGCGCAGAUAUCGGGAAGAACACCCGUGGCGAAGGCGGCUCUCUGGGACGGUACUGACGCUGAGACGCGAAAGCGUGGGGAGCGAACAGG